rnacentral:rRNA from 1 species
AAUGAACGCUGGCGGCAGGCCUAACACAUGCAAGUCGAACGGGUGGCGGACGGGUGAGUAAUGUCUGGGAAACUGCCUGAUGGAGGGGGAUAACUACUGGAAACGGUAGCUAAUACCGCAUACCAUCAGAUGUGCCCAGAUGGGAUGAGCUUGUUGGUGGGGUAACGGCCCACCAAGGCGACGAUCCCUAGCUGGUCUGAGAGGAUGACCAUCCACACUGGAACUGAGACACGGUCCAGACUCCUACGGGAGGCAGCAUUGGGGAAUCUUGCACAAUGGGCGAAAGCCUGAUCCAGCCAUGCCGCGUGUGUGAAGAAGGCCUUCGGGUUGUAAAGUACUUUCAGCAGGGAGGCGUUACCCGCAGAAGAAGCACCGGCUAACUCCGUGCCAGCAGCCGCGGUAAUUC